rnacentral:rRNA from 1 species
CCUACGGGUGGCAGCAGUGGGGAAUAUUGGACAAUGGGGGCAACCCUGAUCCAGCCAUGCCGCGUGUGUGAAGAAGGCCCUCGGGUUGUAAAGCACUUUCAGUGAGGAAGAACGCCUGGUGGUUAAUACCCAUCAGGAAAGACAUCACUCACAGAAGAAGCACCGGCUAACUCCGUGCCAGCAGCCGCGGUAAUACGGAGGGUGCGAGCGUUAAUCGGAAUUACUGGGCGUAAAGCGUGCGUAGGUGGCUUGAUAAGCCGGUUGUGAAAGCCCCGGGCUCAACCUGGGAACGGCAUCCGGAACUGUCAAGCUAGAGUGCAGGAGAGGAAGGUAGAAUUCCCGGUGUAGCGGUGAAAUGCGUAGAGAUCGGGAGGAAUACCAGUGGCGAAGGCGGCCUUCUGGACUGACACUGACACUGAGGUGCGAAAGCGUGGGUAGCAAACAGGAUUAGAUACCCUUGUAGUC